rnacentral:lncRNA from 1 species
UUUUUUUGAGACGGAGUCUUGUUCUGUUGCCCAGGCUGGAGUUCAGUGGUGUGACGUCAGCUUAUUGCAACCUCCGGCUCCCUGGUUCAAGCCAUCACAGGCCUCAGACUCCUGAGUAGCUGGGACUACGGGCACGCACCACCACACCCGGCUAAUUUUUCUUAUUUUUGUAUUUUUAGCAGAGACGAGGUUUUGCCAUAUUGGCUAGGCUCUUCUUGAACUCCAGACCUCAGGUGAUCUGCCCGCCUAGGCCUCCCAAAGUGCUGGGAUUACAGACGUGAGCCACCGCGCCCAGCCUGGAAUUCAACUGGAGUGUACCACAAUCUGUUUAACAAGUCCCAUGUUGUCAGAUAACUAUGUUGCUUCCCAUUUUUUACUCUUACAAACAAUGUCCUUAUAGCUAAAUCUUUACAUACAAACUCCAUGAUGGCUUCUUUACGAUUAAUUCUUAGAAGUGAAAUUGCUGAGUCAAGACUAUUAUUUUGAAGGCUUUUAAUGAGUAUUGCCAAAUUGCCCUUCUUACAUGUGCUAUUUUACAGACCUACUGACCAUAUAUGAGAAUACUCAUUUUGCAAACAGUGGGUUUGCAACAACAAAACAAAUUCCCAAACUCUGUCAACUUGACAAGUUAAUGAGACUUCCUUAUAUUCUACAGUCUGAGGCACACCACAGUGAAAUCUCUCUGGUCAAUUUAGUAUUGUGCCAUGAGAAUAUGUUCUGAGCAGCAGCUCUUGAUGUUUACAUAAACCAUUACUUAAGCCCUCAACACCAUCAAAUAUUUAUUUAACAUCCACUGUGGGUUAAGAAUCGCAACCCAGGGCCCCAAAGCAACUUACAAGCUAAAGGAAGGAGUGGAGGCACAGUUCCUUGUCUUUGCCUUGGGAAUAUUUUUAGUAAGUUGCUUCUUUUCCUUUUCUCUCUAGAGCUUUAUAAAACCAAAUUAUGGGAAAAUUAUCAUGCAAUUUAAAAAAUUAAACAUUUUACAUUGUAGAAUAUAAAAUACUUUCAUAAAAGAACAUAAUACGUAUAUAUUUACAUUAAAGAAGAAAACAUUAAUGGUCAGGCGUGGUGGCUCACGCCUGUAAUCCCAGCACUUUGGGAAGCUGAUAAUCCCUGCCACUCGGGAGGCUGAGGGAGAAUAAUCGCUUGAACCCAGGAUGCAGAGGUUGCAGUGAGCUAAGAUCGCGCCAUUGCACUCCAGCCUGGGUGACAGUGCAAGACACCAUCUCAAAAAAAAAAAAAAAAAAGAAAAAAGAAAAAAAAAAGGCUUAAAAAAAUUGGACUUCUAUGGGACCACCAUCCAACUUAAGAAAUAGAACAUUGCCAACACCUGAAAAUCUCCACCCUUUCCCACCUAUCCUUAUGGAAUUUCAAUCUUGUUCUUGCCACAGAACGGUAACCAUCAUUAUAACUCGAAGAUGAUCAUUUCCUUCCUUUUCCCUCUUGUUCUACCAUUGUUUAGUUUUGCCUGCUUUUACAUUUUAUAUCAAUGAAAUCACAAUGAAUUAUUCUUCUGAUUUGCUGUUUUUGCUCAAUGUUGUGUAAGAUUCAUCCAUUUGGUUGCAGGUAGCUGUAUAACAUUUCACAAGAUGAAUGUACCACAAAUUUUAAUCCUUCUAUUGUUGAUGGAUUUGGAUUAUUACCAACUUUUGGCCUUUGAGCCAGUCUAGGAUUCACGAUGUAACCAUGGAGCAGAUGCUUUGAGGUAAUAAACUUCAAAUUAGAUGCAUAAAUAAAUCUAAUCUUUUAAAGAUAUUAGUUCCUUUGUGACAGAUAUUUCCCCUCCAGUGCUUUCAGCUUUGAUGACUGAAUGGUAGUUUCAUUGUGAGAAUCCUAUUAUCUUGAAUCCUUGUCAGUGAUAGCUGUUUAAUGAGGGUUUUUUCUCUCCUCCUACCUGGCACUGUGUGUGCAAGUCAUCUCACUCAGGAAACACCCACGUGGUGGGGAUGGCCUUCACGGCAACUGUUGUGCUCUUUAUUCUUGCCACACUUGCUGUUCUCAGUGAAAAACUGAGAGUUCCUGGAAAAUGUAUGGGUUCAGAAAUGGGAUGGUCAUGAGGUUAAAGGACUUGGCCUGGGAAGGAAAAGAAGAAAUAUCAUGUUUUAAAAUAUCAUCUCUAACCAAAGUAGAGAUGGAUUGAGAUUAUAACCACUGUGAAGGGUACAGAUUAAACAAUUUUGGACAUGGGUUGAUGGUUUGUGAGAGGUUGGGUACUGGGUAGGGCAGGUACAUUACGUCAUUAUCUUUAAUUUUGUGUAUGUUUAAAAAUUUCCACAAUAAGAAGUAAAAAGGGAGUUAACUAAGACAGUAAAUUAAAAAUGUUAACUCCAUUUCUAGUACAAAAUGGACUUAAUAAGUGUUAUCUGCUCACCUUCCCUUCCAUCUAGGUGAAUGACAUUUCCAGCAUUGAAGGACAGCAUAGACACGGAAAUACAUUUUAUGGCGUGCCAGUGGGUGUGGUGGGUCUCAGGGAUGCAAGGUGGGUGAGACUCCCUGUCUGUUCCUGAGGAGCUCUGGUGAGUGGGAAGGAGAAGGGAACACUCGAAGAGCAUGGCAGCCUUAAAGAGGCAGUGGGCUGAGGAGGCUCGCUCUGUGUUCAGAAAUUGGAACAGGGUUGUAGAAAGGAUGCUGUGUGGCUGUUAAAGUAAACUCCACCCAUUUUAGAAUUUUCCUUGGAAGCGGCCUCAAUGUCUAGAAAAGAGUGGGAAAAAUCUUUCCCCUUUUCAAAUUUGUUCUUUUUUGAGCCAUGCAACUUUAAUUCUAAGAAUAAAACAUUCAUGCUUCUAGUUGUAGUUUCCUUGGACAGCUAAACUGUGGAUAAAAUAGGAAUUUGGGUGCUAACCCCAAAAUCUAAAUGCUACUGAAGGGGCUGUUAUCUCUGCAUGAAUUCCUCAUAAAACCGAAAAGCUACCCAAUAGGUGCUGAAAACAGGUCAAAUACCAUAUUAGAUGUCACAUUGGGUAGCACACACACAUGGGAAAGCACAAAGACUGGCUUAGAGUGCCAAAGUAAGAAAUGGAUCACACUGGCUGGGCGCGGUGGCUCAC